AGUCGUCAGGUGCGAUUCAGGCGAUGCCGCCCUCUCCUCUCCCAACCAACAUCCCCAUAGCAGUUCGAUCUGUAGUUGUGUCAUUAGAUAGCCAGAUCCCCAUUUCGUGUCCAUGUAGUCAUAGCACCAUUAGAAGUCAACCAAACCAACCAAGCAAACAAUGUGUUCAUGUAGAUGUAGCGGUUAAUCAGCGUCAAUGGCGGGCACCGGGGCGUUCUCGUAGAUCCAAACUGGGCAACUCCAGUCAUUAGUCAGUAGUAGCAUUUGUUGUGAUUCUGAACAUGUUGUUCUAUUAUUGCACCGCAUUAUGUACCAUUCCGUCACAAUGUUCAGUUAAGAUUCAGUUGCAAGCUUUGCAUGUCAUUGAUAUUCUGGAAGAUGAUUUGGUUCACUUCACCUAAUGAUUUCUUCGUCAUAAACUGAGCAUAUGCGGUUUCUUGAGGAACCCUCCAUAUUGAAGUGUGCAUCCAUUCCAUUGAGAAAGCUAUUGCAAGCAGCAAAGUUUUGUUGAUAACAGUUCGUGUGCUUGCUCACUAACAAGUUUGCAUUUCUGCCCAAUAACAGGUUCCACUUCUUGGUGGAGCAAUGUGCGCGUGCACCUGGCAUUUCUUCUACAACUCAGUGUCUCUCGAGGUAACAUAUUAACCCGAAGGCAAUGCAGUUGCAUUCCCUUUUCUACUAAUCAUCGAUAUCAGCUACUCCGCAGGACUCAACCGUAUCGUACACCGGGCGUCGUCGUGUAGAUUUUGCCCACCGUGUAGAUUUUGGCCCUUCAUUCCGGUUCGAGAAUUCACUGUAUGACUGUCAUUGAGAAACUGCAUGCAUGGACUAUGCAAUGCUCUUUAAUGUAGAAGCUCUGUCACUCUGGUCUAUAUUACUCUACUAGUCAGUGUCACAUUUCAAUUGAGCCGUUAGGGCAAGAAAAGGAAAUUGUCAGGCAACUACUCCGUCCAUACUUCCAAAAACUUCUUGUAUUUUGAUACAGAGGCAGUAGUUACUAGUGUUUUUAUCAAAGCUUUACUAGUGUUUAUGAGUAAAACUGUCGUGUCUAUUUCUCUAAAUGUUCAACAAAUAAUUUUAAAAACUUACAAGUUAUGCAGUUUCGUUGUGGUUGAUUGACAUCCCUGUGAAGAUAAAAUACAGGACCAACUUUUAGCUUUUUGUGAAGCAAAAACAUUUGGUAAAAAAAUCGUAGAAACCCCCAAUAAGUCGAUUUAUAGUUGAUAGAAGAAGUAUGAUUUGGUGUUGGUGUGUGUGAACUUCUGACAUUUUGAUCUCUGAAUGCUAGUUGGACAUUUUGAUAUCUGAAUGCUAGUUUGACAUUUUGAUAUCUAAAUCCCUUUGUCCGCCCCUCAUCUUUUCUUCUUCUGCUCUCUGUCUGACCCCCUUCUAGUUAAUUUGGUACAGUGACCUACUCCCCUGCUUCCUAUGUUAAUUUGGUGUGUGAUGUGGAUGUGAUGUAUUUUAGGCAUGAUUAAAUACGUACUUUGGUUCCACUCUGACUGAAACAACUUGUUGGUUCAGUUUCUUUUAUGAAGAACAAAUAUGAUGAACACCUUUUCUUUUCCUUUUUAUUCAAGAUUCAUUUCCAAUUAUAAACCAAACUGAAAUUGCAAAUAGUCUAGAAUGAAUGAAGCAGAGAGUCCUUCCUUCUUUGGUAGCUGGCACAAUUCCUUGUACAAUUCCUUCUCAAGGUGCUGGUGUUUGUGGAGGUGAUUGACCUCUUUUUUCACUCUCUGUAUCAAGGUGCAGCUAAUGAGCAUUGGUAGGUGUUGUUCGGUGUACCUUGACAUGAUCUCCAGGACAUGAAAUGUGAGCUAUCUAAGCUGUUCCUUUGUUCCUGGACAUGAUUUAUCCUUCGAUUUGAUCAACAUUAUCUUGUUAUGUCUCUUGUCUAUCAUGUGCAGCGGCAACAGGAUUUGCAGAGUACAAGGGUGGGCUCAUCAAGGUGUGUGGUGGUAGGCUCGCUCGGCCCCAGCAUCUUUUGUUGAACGGACAUGCCGCCUCUUCAGCAUCGGCUACAUGAGAGCCAUGGUGAGCUCUCUUCUCCCUGCCUCCGUUUGCUUGCUCUGAGCUCGUGCUUGUGAGAAACUGCAUGUCACCUCGCUUGAACUCCCUAGCUACACCACACCUUGUUUAAUACACUAGUCAUGCUCUUGCAUACAUGUUUUGUUGGACGAAAAAAUGUACAAUGAUCUGCUCCUUGGGAUAUUAAUUCUUAUGAUAUAUCUUGUAAUUUACAUUAUUGUAAAAGUUAAACCCACUACACGUGUUAGCAGAAAUUGUUUUAGUUUGUCAUACAUAAUUGCCUAUGCUUGUUGGUAGCUAUUAAGUGUAUAAUUCACCAUGGAAGCAUAGUAAUUUCAUGGACAUCAUAAGAUUACAUUUAUGUUCUGAACUUAAAUAUUUAAACUCAGUGUUUAGAUUCUGUAUCUGUAAUCAUAAGCUUCACUUGUAGUCUGGUCGUUCUUAGACAUAUUAUUGUUUGAGUUAAGUUCACCGAACAAUACUUAAAAUUUUAGGAAUCAAUGAUGCCGACCUCCUUGCAGAGUUGUGCCAGGUACCAAAUGAUGACCUACUCGCAUAGUUGUGAUAGUUACCGAUGACCUCCUCAUACUCACCGGUAACAAGUCUGGUUUCACAUUUGCUGGGCACUAUGCUUUUGGUGUAUCAUAUGGCUGGGAGAAAACACACAGUUUCCUGCAUUGUCGGAUAAUGUCAAUUUGUUCUGUAAGAUCUGAGUUUAUUGUACUAUAAAUGGUGAUAAUAUUGUGCCUAGUAUGUCCACGACCUUUUACAUUGUAUGGAUAAUUGGAUAGACUGAACUACCGUAUUCCCCUUUAUACUCCGCAGUCAAACUCAUAUGAUAGAGUAGAUAUUUUCUACCUGUAGAAUCAUGGAGGUAUUAACUACCUGAUGUAGUCAUAGAACAACAUCAUGUUUGAAUAUGCCAAAUGUUUGGGCCUAAUGAUGUUCUGUAUUAUGGCAGCUGCUUUAUUACUUUCUUUCUAGGUUUAUGUGCAGUGUUGGAUUAAUGAUUUAAGUGCAUUAGCGGUUUAUCUUCUUGUUCACAAGUCUGUUUGCAUUGGAUGUACAUAACUGUCAUUUUUACAUCUUGCAUAUUUAACAUACAUGACAAUAGUAGUAGGUAUUGAAAUAUAUGCGAAGGUAGAAGCUAUCGCUGCUGCCUUGUGGGUCGUAAUUCUUUCUCUCCAGACGCGUAUACUGCCUGAUGUAUCGCUCAUGCUCAUAUUCUGUAUUGAGAUAGUCCUAAUAUCCAUCGGGUUGUAGAUUGAUUUCCCCUGAAAAAGCUAUGCUUCUUUCCUUAGAUGAUAAGCAUGUUCGACAGCUAUGUGGAAUCCUUAAGAUAAAUGGUCUUUAGUUUCUUUUGGUGCAUCUGCGUGCACAUAACAGUCCGUUAGUUUCUCUUUAUAUAAUGAAGAAAAUAUGUUGUUAUCAUUUGUUUAUUAUUAUCUAUCAUCUGUAGAUUGAUUUUUAGGCCAUCAGUACUUCUAUGUAUAAUUUGUAGUCUCUUGAAUGAAUAAUUUUUCUUUAGGUGUCAUGUGUCUUGUGUUACUACAUACAUCUGGCGUGAAGUACAUGGUUCCAGAACUAUGGUAACCCGUAGUUUGCUCUACUGGUGAUAGUAGGAUGAUGGAAACAUCACUACUAAAUGUAGUUCAUGUUUCUUCAACUAAUCAUCAUGUACUAGAGUUUCUCUUCUUCUUGCUACUGUUUGGUUUUUGACGUCACUAGCUUGUACUGAAACGUGCAGACUUUACCCCUUGCUAGAUCCUUUGGUGGAGGUGACCCAUGUGAUGGUGAUUCGCUCCAGCAGUUUCGGUCUGACACUGGUGGUGCUACACUACUACUACUCCUAUGAUGGCGACGCAUUGGUAGGCUCGGCUGCCUCCCUUUGUUGUCACUGUGAUGGUGAAGCUCAGCCUAGGCUACAACCACUUACGAUGAGCUCCUCAGGUCCCCUUCUACCCCUCCUACUCGCUCCAUGAUUCUUUGCUUUGCCUUUGUGAGGUGUAAUUGUUUAAUUUUUGUCAUAGUGGAGCAUUGGAUGAUAUAUUGUAUCUGUCAUGAGGUACAUGGUUCAUGGAUAUGCCAACCUGCAGCUUGUUGUACUAGUGAUAGUAGGAUAAUGCAAGUUUUGACAAUCAAUACAUAUUCCUGCAUGUUAGUGUCUCUCCGUGUAAGUACUAAUUCUGGUGAGAAGAAUACAAUUAUUAUUUAACCAGUCCAGAUUUUUAACAUUUGAUGUACUUCCAAGGCACACAGAUCUCUACUCUUCUACAUAAUCCACACUUUGUUCUGGAAGCAAGUCAGUUGUACCAUGCUGUUACAUCACAACAAGGUGUCAUUUGAUGUAGUGCUGCUGUUGAUGCUCCCUAGAGUCUAGAUGUAGAUGUACUGCUGCUGUUGAUGCUCUAGCUGUAGCCUGUACUAUUGUUGUUUUGCUUCUUCAGUGUUAGUUUCGCUACUACUAGCUGUUGGCUGCUACUAGUUAGUACUUAGUAGUUACUGCUAGCAGUGCUAGUAGCUGCUGCUGCUUCUAUUGCUUGUGCAAUUGUGCUAGUAGCCAGUAGAUGUUCAUUGCAUGACCUGCACUCGUAGCUAGUAGAUGUGCUGGUACCUGUACGCUAGUAUUGUUGGUGUGUUCAAUGUCUUAGUAGAACAUCAUCAGGUUGAUGUGUUGUAGUCAAGUUUUGGAUGUUUUGCCAUGCCAUGCUUAGUGUUUACUAAACUGAGGUAUUUGAGCAUUUAUGUGUAAUUUCUAUUCUCUUGAAUGGAUAUUUUUUUAUUGGCAAUCAUUUAAAUUCCACUGUAUCUCACUUAUAAUUUAUGCAGAUCAGGAUCUAAUAUUAUUGAGGUUGUUGUUGUUGUGAGCAUGAUCAGAAGAAGCCUGGAGAUGUGCACAAUAGUUUUAGUUGAUGUUGCCACCAUGUUUUGGUGCAUGUGUAUUUAUUUUUGAUUGUAUGCAAACUUGAUGGAUCAUGCAGACGUGUAUGUGCUGUUGUGAGUUUCAUUGAUUCUGGAUUUGAUCAUUUAAUUGAGAGAACUAUUGAUUGUUUGCUGUUGAAAUGUGUAACAGAAAUCUGUGAAUGAAAAGGUUGAAUGUUCUAUUGGAUUGAAUAAUAUUUGGGC
rnacentral:lncRNA from 1 species